UACUCAAGUCUAUUUCUGCUCAUUUCUAGGGUUUACAAAAGUUGCAUUGGCAACUUUGCCCAAAUAAUCUCCAAAUCGGUGGAAGGCCAUAUUUAUAUGAGUCAUUUCACCCUGUGGAGUCUCAUGGCAUUUGGAGUUCAUUUGCUCAACCAAACAAGCAUCAAACACCUUCUGACAUUUUGCAAAAACCACUAUUUUGACCCCUUCCACUAUUCUUGGAGAGCUCAAAUUUUUACCACAGCUCCUCCUAGCCCCCUUUCACCUCUAGUAACAAUGGCAAGUUCAUAUCUCACUUAUUGGAUGGGUAAAAUCCCACUUCCUCUCUCUGGUCAGCCCAUUUGCACACUUCUUCUUCCUCUCCCCUCACUCUACUGGCUCUCCAGGGCAUCCAAUGCUCCUCUCCCCUUCUUUACUACUCCCUAGCAUUACUGGACAUCAGUGGCCGCACCCACAGGGCAUAUAAUAUGCCAUGGCAUGCCAAACGCGCGCUCCAGAGCGCGCUGCAGUGCGGCUAGGCACUGUAGCCGCCCUCUGCCCAAUGCUUCCGGCCACCUCGGGCCUCCCUAGUGCGCCUGCCGAUGCGCCUCGGCGUCCGCGGCACGCUACGCGGUCGGCCCCCUCCUCUCUCCUCCUCCCCGCGCCUCCGCGCUAGCGAACAAGGGCCGCCCGAGUGCACCAGUGAGCGUGCUCACACGCGCGGUGCCUCUGGCCCCCCUGCUCCCCCUCUCUCUUCUUCCCCUGGGCGUAGUCGACCCCCACGAGCACCCUAGACACGGUGCAGCGCCCUCCCGAGGCCCAUAGCAACGAGCACGAGCCCGCCGGUGCACGAGCCCACGAUGGACCACCGUUCGCCUAUAUAAAGGCCUUCCCGAGCCCUUCCACCCUCACCCCUCGCUCUCUGCACCACCAAAACCUCCCCCUGCACCCCCAGUUCACCUCCAAAGCCGCCCGAGCUCGAGAUCGAGCUCGAGCUCCGCCGCGUUGGCUCGCCGGAGUUCGCGAGGUAUAAGCCUCCCCCGCUCCUCCUUUGCCUCGAUCUGGAACCCCUGCAUCCCCCUGACCCUUUUCCCCUCGUUUCCCCUCUCUGUAGCUGCUGGAAACGGCCGGAGCUACCGCCUCCCGAAGCUCCUCCGCCGCAGUUCCUCGUAGUUGGCGAACCAAGCAACUCCGGCGACGUCCUCCACCACCACCCGAACGGCAACUCCACGCUGAGCCCAACCGUGCUAUCAGCUCGACCCGCCGUUCCCUGCAUCGCCGCUGGUGAGCAUGCCGGCCCUCUGGUCGCGAGGUCAGAGAUGGCAGGCGGACCCCGCCUGUCAUCCUCACCUCUCUCUCGCCCCUCUCUCUCCCACUGGCAGCUGGGCCCCGCUCGUCAGGUUUAAAAACCUGGCGCGCGCGCGUGCACCUGUGCGUUGGGCCGCCUCGCUGGCUGGGCCUGCUGCCCUGCGGCUGUUCUGGCCCAGUGGCACAGUGCCCUUUUCCUUUUUCUUUUUCUGUCAUUAUUCCAAAAAUUCCACAGGAUUAAAUAAUAAUCCAAAUGCAACAAUUCCAAUUCCUAAAUUCCUAGAAUAUUACAACCUAUUUAAUGGUGCAACUUCCAUUCUAAUCCAACAACCCUUCUUUCACUAUAAAUAUUUAAAUGUGGUUUUUAGCAUUUAAAUAUAUCUUUGAAAAUCCAUUUCUCCCAUUCUGCUACACCAAAUCCAAAACUAGGAAUUUUCCCCUUCUUAGUUUUCAACCUAGUAUUUUACAAAAAUGAGUUGACAUUUUUCUGAGCACUUUGGUUUUUCUAUUUUACUAUUGCCUUAUUUUCUCGUUAUUAUUAUUUUGCGACGAUAGAUUGCGUUGCUGACGAAGGAGUUGGACCAGAAGACUUUGAAGACCCAGAAGACUUUGUUAAGCCAAGCAAGCAGCCCUUUGACCAUGCCUAUGAAACCUUUUUAUGCACAUCAUAUAGCACUCUAUUAGAGUUGUUUCGGAGCCAUGUUGAGAGGGUAACCACUUUGGUGGAUUGCCUUCGUUACUUCCUCAUGAUACUUGCAUUGUGCAUGACCCUACCUUCUUAUGAGGGUUGUGUCGGUGGGAGUAGAUAGGAUGCUAAAGUAGUUGCUACGCAAAAAGGGACGGGUAUAUGCAUGGUGAAGGAGGCAAAGUAUUUUCAAAAGACUUUUCACAAACCCCGCCGGGUGCCACUUAUGCCCGAGGGAGAUGUUGAGAGGGGUAACCACUUGAUGACGAAGUGGUGUACCGAGGCAAGUGUGUGUGUUAUUUUCAAAAACGGAUUGGUUUAAGUUGCGACCGUUAUUCCAACCUUACAUGCGCAACCACUCUACCCUUAUAUGGGAAAGGGCAUUAUUGAUUACCUAGGCCGAUAGUAGCUUGGAGCCCGCAUUACUAGUGACGGGGGAGAGUUGGUGCUCUCUCUCGGGACGGGGUUGUGCCAGGUAGGGCGGCCAUGACUGUUUUCACAGGGCACCGAACACACCGUUGGUACCCCGUGCUUGUUCUAUAUGAUGAAUAUGGGAGCGAGGCUCCACAACUUUAUGAUGUGAAAUGUUGGGCAUGGGGGUUACUGCCAAUCGAGUGGACUCCAUGUUAGUGUCAUCUAGGGAAAGGUAGUGAUCGGGUGCUUACCCCGGGUACUUGAGGUAUCGCGGGUCGUGGAUGACACGGAAGUUCCCCGGAUCUUGUGGGUACAGUGUGCAACCUCUGCAGAGUGUAAAACUAUUCGAAUAGCCGUGUCCACGGUCAAGGACAGUUGGGUAACCGCUCUUGGGCUACGUCCACAUGUUUACAAAUCAGUGUGUGUGUUUGGAUAAGUGGGUAGAACCACUUGGGUCAAGUCAAAGGACUUGACAUGAUUGAGAUGGGUUGGUGCCCACUCUAUUUAUGUUGAUAUCUGUACCAUGUCCUCAUGGUUACUGGUUGCAUGUCUUAUAAGUUGUUGAACAUGUCUUUGCACUCAAAACUAGCUUUCCGCAAAAAUUUACCUAUAUCAUGCAUUGUUGUAUCUUGAACCAAAUCAUGGGUUGCUUGCGAGUACAUUCAAAGUACUCAUUGGCUUGCCACUGGUUAUUUAAUUGACCAGGCAUGGAAGAACCGGAGUUCGAAGAAGAGUUCUUUGGAGACGAACAUGCGAACUAGGACGUUUCCUAGUCAGAAUGCUUGUAGGGUUAAGGCAGAUGGCAUGGGUUCUACUCAUCGUCGAAGAUUUCCGCUGCUUGUGUUUCAUUUGAUGUUCAGCCCUUAAGGCUUUAUCAAUGUAAGACUUGACCAUAAUGGUCAUAAUUUGUGUAAGAUGGUAUGUAUGGAUGUAAGACUCUUGUUAUUCAGCUUCUGUGUGUUCAGUGAGCAUUGAUCUCUGGGAUCACUGUACACGUGCAUUUGGUGAUCUCGACUCAUGAGUCGGGGUCCCCACAGAGCUGGUAUCAGAGCCAUCCUGACUGUAGGAAGCCUUAGUUAGCAUGGACGUUAGUUAACCUGAGACUAUCUAAACUUCUCUUCUUUUCUUAAGCUUACCCAACCCAAGGUAUAUUCCCCUUAUUGACCUCUCCCAUUCAACCUUUGUAGAUGGCUGUCGUACCUGAAGACUUCCUGACCACCGGAUUUCCCGUGCUUCUCGAGGAUAGCCUCAAGAAGUGCCAGUACCACCGAGCCCCCAUUUUCACCUACCAUGAGCAUUGGAUCAAUGACACCGAGGAGGAGUAUCAUGUGGAAGUGAUCGUGAAGGCCAAUGACUCUCCAACAAGCUGGUUCUUCGAGGGACCCCAGAUGGCAACACUAGUUCUUGCCGUCGAGACGGCAACCCUCAAGGCACUCACCCGCCUCCGAGACCUUCUUCCAGAGAUGGCAGACGAGUUGGCAACCCGCUUCUUGCCUUAUCGGAAGGAAGGUGAGGAUGAGAGCAGUGCACUAGCUCCACCAUUAGAAGAAGGACUUCCACUCCGAUUCCAGACCUACUUCAGCCUUUGUGCCGAUAGUUUGGCACAACACUUGGCCACGGAAUCAAUGGAACUCCGAAAGGAACUUCAUGAGACCAAGGCACUUCUUUGCCAAGCACAAGAGAAGGCGGAUAGGAUCAAGAAGGAAGGUGCUCCCCCUGGACAGCCCGCAAUCGCAUACAGAGGCGGAAGACCCCCAAAGGAUGGACAACCACCACAGCAACACCGCAUGAGCGCAAGGGAUUACCGCAAGCUCUUCACCCCACCAGCAAAGCAACGCCGUGUUGAGCUCCUCCACUCCCCCACCCCUUCAAGCAAUGAAGGAAUCCAUGCAACUGAUGAUGAGGAGGAAGACCCAGAAGAGCCAGACUACGCGACCGAGCAUUCCACCACUUAGGCAUCAUUCACAACUUGGAUAUGCCCGUUAGUAACCCUACGGUAGGAUAGGUCAUGUACCCCUAUGCGAAGUCGAGUCCAUGUAAUGGUUCUUAUGAAACCAUGUAGUGUUGUGUUUGCUUUUGUUGUGUUUGAUGGAUGUCGUGCUUUCCUUCAGGAACUUGUAAGCGACUACAUCACCCAUUUGGACUUUAAUGAAUGUGUUUGGCCCUUUGGCCCUUGCAUGAAAACAAUUAGUGUUAUACCAACCCCCUUACUAGGAAUCCCAUCUAUGUUGCUUUCCCUAUCUUUUCCCAAUCAUGAGACCUUGACCACUCCAACAGGAUGCCUGUUGUAACACGUACUGGUACCUCUACCCAGCAGCAAGAAGCCGGAGGUUCUGCUGAAGCAGGAGUCAGCCAAGACCAAGCCCAAGGACAGACUCCACCCCCACCACCUCCUCCAAUCAUGGACAUGGCUCAGCUUCUCCAAGCCUUCCGAGAGGAACGCCAAGCUAACACUGCAGCCCUUCAGGUGAUUGCUCAAGCUGUCAAUCGCCAGCCGGCGGGACACGGCAAUGGACGGUCCACAUUGGUGGAGUUCAAGAAGCAUGCACCACCCACCUUCAUCGAGACUGCUGAACGUCUGGAUGCAGACGACUGGGUCCGCACCAUUGAGGACUUGUUGGACCUAGUCGGCUGCACUGAAGACCGUGAGAGGGUGGCAUAUGCUGCCCAUUGUCUCGGAGGAACUGCCAGAGCUUGGUGGGAUGGAUUCAAGGCCAUGCAUGCUGAGCAAAACAUCACUUGGAAUGACUUCAAGGCAGAAUUCCGCAAGGCCCACAUUCCUUCUGGAAUCAUGUCCAUCAAGAAGCGUGAGUUCCGAGCCCUGAAGCAAGGUAGCAGCACUGUCAAGGAGUACAUGCAGAAGUUCAGUGUUCUCUCAAGGUAUGCUCCUGAGGAUGUCAGCACUGAUGCUGCCAAAAAGGAGCGCUUCAUGGAAGGCCCUAACCAGACCCUGCAGUACUCGCUUGUUGUGUGUGACUGCCCGACCUUUCCUGAUCUGGUGAACAAGGCAUUCAUGCUUGAGGACAAGCGACGUGCUUUGGAUGAUACCCGUAAGCGCAAGAUGAUCAGCUAGGGUAGCUCCAGCAACCAGAAGCCUUGCCCGUGGCAGCCAGCCCCGGUCAAGCCAACCUAUCAGCAGCCAAGGGCCCCUGCACCCCGCACCAACUAUCCACCUCAGCAGUAUGCCAACCCCAGGCCAGCUUACAACAACCCCAAUAACAAUGCUAGCAAGAGCAGCAACCCCAACCAGGUCACUUGCUUUGGAUGUGGUCAGCCAGGACAUUACUCCAAGAAUUGCCCCAACAAGAAGCCCGACGCCCCACGCCCCAAUGCGCAGAACCCAGGACAAGGCCGUGGAAUACCACCAAGGAACCAAGCUCCCCGCAACCUGCCCAACAACGGCAAGGGUCGUGUGAAUCAUGUCACUGCAGAAGAAGCCCAGGAAGACCCGGAUGUCGUGCUAGGUAUGUUCCUUGUCAAUUCAACAUCUGCAACUGUCUUGUUUGAUUCUGGAGCCACGCAUUCAUUUGUCACUCAAAAGUUUGCAUUAAAAAGUGGCAUGACCCCUACACCCCUGAAUAACCCUAUGGUGGUACAAACCCCCGGAGCAGAGAUGAGAGCCAAGAUAGGAUGUAAAGGAGUCGGGAUUGUUAUUAAUGGGGUAGACUUCUUAGCAGAUCUUAUUAUCUUAAGAUCGCAAGGCUUGGAUGUGAUCUUAGGAAUGGAUUGGCUCAUCAAGUACCAAGGCUUGUUAGAUUGUGCCAACCGGUCUGUCACUGUGACUAAUGACCAAGGAGUCGAAGUUAAAUUCUCCUCCAACCCCUCCUCUGCUCAAGCCAACCAAGUCAACUGUCUGACUGAAGUUGGAUUGGAGCAAGUGCCGGUAGUAUGUGAAUACCCCGAUGUUUUUCCUGAUGAGCUACCGGGAAUGCCUCCUGACCGAGACAUUGAGUUCAUCAUCGAGCUCAUGCCCGGAGUAGGACCCAUCUAUAAGAAGCCUUAUAGAAUGGGAUCAGAGGAGUUAGCAGAGUUGAAGAAGCAACUGGAAGAGCAGUUGAGGAAGGGAUUUAUCCGCCCUAGUGCCUCCCCUUGGGGAUCGCCUGUUCUGUUUGUGGCAAAGAAGGACGGUACCAUCCGCUUAUGCAUUGACUACCGCUCCCUCAAUGAAGUUACAAUCAAGAACAAAUAUCCACUUCCCAAGAUUGAAGAUCUAUUUGAUCAACUCAAUGGGGCCAAGGUGUUCUCCAGGAUCGACCUCAGAUCUGGGUACUACCAGCUGAAAAUCAGACCCCAAGAUAUUCCGAAGACGGCAUUUGUAACCAGAUAUGGCCUGUAUGAGUGCACGGUCAUGUCCUUUGGAUUGACCAAUGCCCCAGCUUACUUCAUGUACCUCAUGAAUAAGGUCUUCAUGGAAUAUUUGGACAAGUUUGUCGUUGUCUUCAUAGAUGACAUCCUUGUCUUCUUGAAGUCAGAGGAAGAGCACGAGCAACACUUGAGGAUGGUCCUAGACAAGCUCCGAGAGCACCAACUGUAUGCCAAGUUCAGCAAGUGCGAAUUUUGGCUGCGUGAAGUUGGAUUCUUGGGUCAUGUUAUGACCGAGGAAGGAUUGUCGGUCGACCCCGCUAAGAUUGCGGCCGUGACUGAAUGGCAAUCCCCAAGCAAUGUGAAGGAAGUCAGAAGCUUCCUCGGACUCACGGGAUAUUACCGCAAGUUCGUUGAAGGGUUCUCAAGCAUUGCCCGACCCAUGACUCAGCUCUUGAAGAAGGACAAGAAGUUUGAAUGGACGCCGAAGUGCGAAGAGAGCUUCCAGGAGCUGAAGAAGAGACUGACCACCGCCCCAGUUCUGGCCACACCAGAUAUACACAAGGAGUUUGUGAUAUAUUGUGAUGCGUCAAGGACCGGACUGGGAAGUGUUCUGAUGCAAGAAGGCAGAGUCAUAGCUUACCUUUCAAGGCAACUACGGCCUCAUGAAGAGAACUAUGCUACUCAUGACCUUGAGCUAGCAGUAGUGGUUCAUGCCCUGAAGAUAUGGCGACAUUACCUCUUAGGGAAGCGAUGUGAGAUAUACACGGAUCACAAAAGUCUGAAGUAUAUUUUCACUCAAAGGGAAUUGAACAUGAGGCAAAGAAGAUGGCUAGAGUUGAUUAAAGAUUAUGACCUCAGUGUUCAAUACCACCCUGGGAAGGCUAAUGUGGUAGCUGAUGCAUUAAGCAGGAAGGCUUGUUCCUUGAAUGCUAUGUUUAAGGACAAGCUACCCGCCUUGUAUGAAGAACUUGAAAGCUUCGGGUUGGAACUAGUUGCACCAGGAUUCUUAGCCAACCUCGAAGUCAAGCCUACCCUGAUGGAUGAUAUUAAGGAAGAUCAGAAGGGACACGAAAGUAUUGAAGGCAUCAAGAGGAAGAUCAAGGCAGGCAAGGCCCCCGGGUUCUCAGAGGAUGAGCAAGAAAUUGUGUGGUUUGGGAAUCGCAUUUGCGUACCCAACAAGAUUGAGCUCAAGAAUUUGAUCUUGCAAGAAGCUCAUGACACCCCGUAUUCCAUUCAGCCCGGAGGAACCAAAAUGUACCAAGACCUGAAGGAAAGAUUCUGGUGGCAUGGCAUGAAGAGGGAGAUUGCCACCUAUGUUGCGAAGUGUGAUGUAUGCCAAAGGGUCAAAGCUGAAUAUCAGCAACCUGUUGGAUUGCUCCAACCACUCAAGGUUCCCGAGUGGAAAUGGGAUAAAGUCGGAAUGGAUUUCAUCACUAGACUACCUAGGUCAAACAAGGGACAUGACUCCAUCUGGGUCAUAGUCGAUCAUUUGACCAAAGUAGCCCACUUCAUUCCUGUUAAGACUACCUAUAGUGGCAACCAGCUAGCAACUCUAUACAUCAACAGAAUCGUAAGCCUUCAUGGUGUUCACAAGGAGAUUGUGUCAGACCGAGGAACCCAGUUUACCUCAAGGUUCUGGAAGAAGUUCCAAGAGGCCAUGGGGACCAAGUUGUCCUUCAGCACUGCUUUCCACCCACAGACCGGAGGUCAGACGGAACGAGUGAAUCAGAUACUUGAAGACAUGCUCCGAGCCUGUGUCUUAGCAUAUGGAGCUAAGUGGGAAGAUUGCCUCCCUUUUGCCGAAUUCUCCUACAACAACAGUUAUCAGCCAAGCCUUCAGAUGGCACCAUUUGAGGUGUUAUACGGACGGAAGUGCCGCACACCCCUCAAUUGGUCGGAGACCGGAGAAGGACUUGUCUUUGGGCCCGAUAUCCUCCGUGAAGCAGAAAAGCAAGUCCAGCUUGUCAGAGAGCGUUUGAAGACUGCCAAGUCAAGGCAGAAGAGCUACGUUGACUCACGUCGGAGGGACAUGACCUUCCGAGUUGGAGACCAUGUCUAUCUCCGGGUCACCCCUCUCAAGGGAACCCAACGCUUUCAUGUCAAAGGAAAACUCGCACCAAGAUACAUCGGCCCCUUCAAGAUCACUGACCGACGAGGAGAAGUGGCUUACCAGUUGGAACUGCCACCUGAACUAUCCGAUGUGCACAACGUAUUCCACGUAUCACAACUCCGGAAGUGUCUCCAAGUUCCAGACAAGCCCGAUCUCUACAAGGACGUCAAUCACCAAGCCGUUGACCUUCAGCCUGAUUUGACCUACCAUGAGAGGCCCAUUUGCAUUCUGGAUGAGGCUGAGCGAUGCACUCGAAGCCGCAAGAUCAAGUACUUCAAGGUCCAGUGGAGCAACCACACUGAGGCAGAAGCCACCUGGGAACGUGAAGACUACCUUAGAUCUGAAUUUCCGUAUCUCUUUAAAGCCUAGUUUAGGAAUCUCGGGGACGAGAUUCUUGUAAGGGGGGUAGGUCUGUCACACCCUGCAUUUUGUAACACUUCAUUUGCAUUAAUAAAGCAUGAAAAUUUGGACCAACAAAAACUUUUGCAUUAUUUGGCUUUUAUUUUGAAGUUGAUUUUCUCUAUGUGGUUUUUCAAGUGCUCUUAAUAGUCAACUACUCCACCUUCUAUACUUCAUCGCCUUGCCCCAAACUUCUGUCCAAUGAUCAUGCCAUGUGUAUAGAGAAAUAUAGUAUUUUCUUACAAAAAUAAUUUGGCCAAAAAGUACUUUCUGAAAUUAGUUUUCCAUAAACCCUUGAAUUAAGAUUUGCACUGCAAGUACUUGAUUUGAGGUGUGAAAAAUCUUUCAAAAGGUAUAUUUGAAACCUAUUAGAUAUAGGAUACCCACAAACCACAAAAAUAUAUUUUUAAAAGCUAUUUUACUAUUUUAUUUAAAAGCUUUUUCUUAAGGCCAGAAAUGGUCUUUAAUAGGAAAAAAUUAUUUUAUUGUUUCAAAAAUAAUUGAGAAAAAUCAGGGAAACUCAGUGGACAUAUAUUUGCCAUAUAUAAGAGUUUCAACAUAUGGUCAUGAUCAAAAUAUUGGACAAAACCUCCCAAAACCAUUUCUGCCCAUUCCAAGGAUUUGAAAUAUUUCUACAGGAAAUAUUUUCAUAAAAAUCCAAGAAAAAUCCAGCAAGUAACAAAUGCAUAUUGUGACGAUCUUGCAAAGCCUCAUGUCAAUCAAAGUCAUUUUUAUUCACCAAAAGGCCCCAAAACCCUCUCUGACCAGAAUCAAGUUUGAGCAACUUUGUACUACCAACUUUCUCCCCUUAACCCCAAAUUUUGUGAGCAUGUUGACAUAACCAAAUGAGGCCACUACACAAAGUGGUGCAUCAAGGAGAAGUGUUAUGCUCAACUAGAUCUACUCAAGUCUAUUUCUGCUCAUUUCUAGGGUUUACAAAAGUUGCAUUGGCAACUUUGCCCAAAUAAUCUCCAAAUUGGUGGAAGGCCAUAUUUAUAUGAGUCAUUUAACCCUGUGGAGUAUCAUGGCAUUUGGAGUUCAUUUGCUCAACCAAACAAGCAUCAAACACCUUCUGACAUUUUGCAAAAACCACUAUUUUGACCCCUUCCACUAUUCUUGGAGAGCUCAAAUUUUUACCACAGCUCGUCCUAGCCCCCUUUCACCUCUAGUAACAAUGGCAAGUUCAUAGCUCACUUAUUGGAU
rnacentral:lncRNA from 1 species